GAUGAACGCUGGCGGCGUGCCUAAUACAUGCAAGUCGAGCGAACGGACGAGGAGCUUGCUCCUCUGACGUUAGCGGCGGACGGGUGAGUAACACGUGGAUAACCUACCUAUAAGACUAGGAUAACUUCGGGAAACCGGAGCUAAUACCGGAUAAUAUAUUGAACCGCAUGGUUCAAAAGUGAAAGACGGUUUUGCUGUCACUUAUAGAUGGAUCCGCGCCGCAUUAGCUAGUUGGUAAGGUAACGGCUUACCAAGGCAACGAUGCGUAGCCGACCUGAGAGGGUGAUCGGCCACACUGGAACUGAGACACGGUCCAGACUCCUACGGGAGGCAGCAGUAGGGAAUCUUCCGCAAUGGGCGAAAGCCUGACGGAGCAACGCCGCGUGAGUGAUGAAGGUCUUCGGAUCGUAAAACUCUGUUAUUAGGGAAGAACAAAUGUGUAAGUAACUAUGCACGUCUUGACGGUACCUAAUCAGAAAGCCACGGCUAACUACGUG
rnacentral:rRNA from 1 species